GUGUCAGCCGCCGCGGUAAUACGGAGGGUGCAAGCGUUAUCCGGAUUCAUUGGGUUUAAAGGGUGCGCAGGCGGAUACUUAAGUCAGUGGUGAAAUCCCGGGGCUCAACCCCGGAACUGCCAUUGAUACUGAAUAUCUGGAAUACGGUUGAAGUGGGCGGAAUGUAGCAUGUAGCGGUGAAAUGCAUAGAGAUGCUACAGAACACCGAUCGCGAAGGCAGCUCACUAAGCCGAUAUUGACGCUCAGGCACGAAAGCGUGGGGAGCGAACAGGAUUAGAUACCCUGGUAGUCCACGCCGUAAACGAUGAUAACUCGUUGUUGGCGACACACAGUCAGCGACUAAGCGAAAGCGAUAAGUUAUCCACCUGGGGAUACGAUCGCAAGGUUGAAACUCAAAGGAAUUGACGG
rnacentral:rRNA from 1 species